rnacentral:rRNA from 1 species
GACGAACGCUGGCGGCGUGCUUAACACAUGCAAGUCGAACGGAAAGGCCCUGCUUUUGUGGGGUGCUCGAGUGGCGAACGGGUGAGUAACACGUGAGUAACCUGCCCUUGACUUUGGGAUAACUUCAGGAAACUGGGGCUAAUACCGGAUAGGAGCUCCUGCUGCAUGGUGGGGGUUGGAAAGUUUCGGCGGUUGGGGUUGGACUCGCGGCUUAUCAGCUUGUUGGUGGGGUAGUGGAUUACCAAGGCUUUGACGGGUAGCCGGCCUGAGAGGGUGACCGGCCACAUUGGGACUGAGAUACGGCCCAGACUCCUACGGGAGGCAGCAGUGGGGAAUAUUGCACAAUGGGCGGAAGCCUGAUGCAGCAACGCCGCGUGCGGGAUGACGGCCUUCGGGUUGUAAACCGCUUUCGCCUGUGACGAAGCGUGAGUGACGGUAAUGGGUAAAGAAGCACCGGCUAACUACGUG